rfam:Octopus bimaculoides Scaffold221598_contig_37, whole genome shotgun sequence.
GUAUUUAAAUUGGCAGUGCCUAUGCUAAAAUUCAAAUGCUGUACAAAAAAUUAUCAUGACCUCUGCGUAAGAAUGUUACACAUAUUCGUGAAGCUUUCCAUACUUUU